rnacentral:rRNA from 1 species
AUGAAAGCGAACGGGCGCCGUCGUAAACAUUUAAUACCCUACCUCAAACAGGGCGACCGAAUUGCCACAGUUAUGGAAGAGAAACUAAACUUGGCGGGAGAAUUCUUCAGCAAGCUAAUGGGCACCCCGGAGCUGGCCAGUAAUAGGAGUUCCUUGCGGUGGGAGUCUCUGAAUCUGCACAACCUGUCGUCAGAGUUGGCGCAUGGUCUCGAAUCAGAUUUCACUGUGGAUGAGGUCAAAAAGGUGAUUAUGGACAUGCCCUCCGACAGGGCACUAGGUCCGGAUGGCUUCUCUGGACUGUUUUAUAAAAAGUGCCGGGAUAUCAUUGCUUCGGAUCUAAUGGCUGUGAUGAAGGCUCUGCAUGAGGGCUGUUUUUAUUCUUUUGGAGGUCUCAACACUUCAAUCCUCACACUCCUGCCCAAGAAAUCAAACUCUUUGGAGAUCGGCGACUUCAUACCGAUCAACCUCAUCCAUGGUGCGGCCAAGAUUUUCGCUAAAGUGCUUGCUUGCCGUCUGGAUCCGCUCCUGCCCACACUCAUCUCGCAGGCACAAAGUGCUUUCAUUUCCCGG